AAGUCCAGGAGAGGAGGACACACGGGUGCAGUGAUGUUUUGCACUGUGGCUCCUUGGUAGGGUAAGGGCAUCAGGAAAUGUCAGAACAUCUGAGAGAUUGGCACAUGAGGUGAGUGACUGGGAAGAGAGAGCCUUCUCCUCACCCUAGCCUCUUAAAACUGCUCACCCUGCUUAUGAGAUUUGAUAGCUCAAACAGAGCCACCUUUCCUUUCUGCAGCACGAGCCACAGUGUAUUUCAGUAACUGCUUUUGGCUUGAACUUGAGCUGCCACUUGGAACUCACAGUUCUGAACUUCCCCCCUUGAUAACAAGGCAGGAGCUCUUGAUGACUUCAGAUGGCACCCACUGCUGAUCCAAGCUUGAAAAAAUCUCUGCUUACCUUGAGCCCUCACUAGAGGAAAGUUCAUUUCAAGGGGUCCUGCUUGACCAGCUUUUCCUACAAUUUUCAUUUGGCUGUUGAGGGAAAAAAUGUUGGCACGAAAUUAUAGCAGGUAAGGAGUGGCAAAGUCACUUUGCCAAGUUCACCUGAUGAGUGUGAAGAAGCCAAAGUGAAAAUCCUCUGGUUGACAUUUUAGGCAGCACCACUUUUAUGUUCAAAUGUACUGGGUGAAACACUUCUUUGAUUUUCAUCUGAGUUUAAAACCAUGCAAGGGCUCCUGAAUUUCAUUUCCCCCUAAUUUAUAUGGUAUUGUGCUGCUUUUAAUGACUGGUUAAAAAGAAUGUGCAUGUAGCUAUAUAUUAUACAAGUGUAAUAUUAAAUAAUAAACAUGUGAAAGGAGUUGAGAAACUGUUUUAAUUAAAUUAAAAGUAUUCUUCAGAUUUCAAAACACAAUAUCACAUCACAUUUAUUUCCUUUAUCUUUUUAACUUCUUGCUUAGGCUAUAAAGGAACUGCAACACUGAACUUUUAGAAGUGUCUGCUUCAAUGAUUGGAUCAAAGUAUUUUUUUUAUUAACAGUAUUCUGUACUGCAGAUGUUUAAAAUGUCUUGUUCACAUUUUCUUCAAUAUGCAAUUCACUGACUCAGCCUCAAAAAAAUUCCAAGUAGGAGUCAGAGGACUUUAUUUUCACUUGCAAAUAUGCAAAUAGGAAUGAGACAGGAGAAAGCUACAAGAUAAAAUCUUUUUGGGCUAGGUGAACAGAAACUUCUAGUUUAAAUCUCUGUCAAAACAAAUUUUGCAAUUAAAACAUCCGCAGAUAAUCUUCAUCUAUGUAAAAUAUUUAAAUACUUGAACUGUUAGACGCAAUUUAAAAGUGGUACUUUUGUGUACUUAGCUUGUGCUUUAUGUCAAAUUUGCACAUAGUUGAAAAUGAAUGGAAUGAAAUUAAAAUUGUACCAAAAAACUCUUCAGUGGUGCACAAAUAUGUUGUGUCAUCUACAGCAGCAGAGAAAUGUAGCAAGUUACAGAAAUGAGGAAUCAGUUUCUUGAAUGUAAUUGGGAUUGUAACUGAAUGGAUUUAAUUUUGAUUAGAAUGAUGAUAAAUAUCUAUGGUAUACAUUCUUCGAUUUUAAAUCAUUACAUCUUGUCUAGUAAUGGCUUAUUUUCUUUGGUACAUUUAAACAACCUUUGAAAGCCUUGGAAUCUCAAGCGGUGUGUUUUGCCACAGUGCCAGUGUGAAAAGCAUUUGCAAGAGGUACUGCAUUGUGUCACUUCCUAUAUUUUGUGCAAUUAGAUUUUUGUUACAUUAUGUACAACUUCCCAACCUCCCCCCACUUAUGAUUUAGAUGAGUUUGGGAAAAAAAAAUACACCAAGAUUUAUAUGAAUAAAAUAAAAUGAGAAAAAUCAAA